rnacentral:rRNA from 1 species
CGCCUUUGGGGGGUGCCUAUACAUGCAAGUCGAACGAACUCUGGUAUUGAUUGGUGCUUGCAUCAUGAUUUACAUUUGAGUGAGUGGCGAACUGGUGAGUAACACGUGGGAAACCUGCCCAGAAGCGGGGGAUAACACCUGGAAACAGAUGCUAAUACCGCAUAACAACUUGGACCGCAUGGUCCGAGUUUGAAAGAUGGCUUCGGCUAUCACUUUUGGAUGGUCCCGCGGCGUAUUAGCUAGAUGGUGGGGUAACGGCUCACCAUGGCAAUGAUACGUAGCCGACCUGAGAGGGUAAUCGGCCACAUUGGGACUGAGACACGGCCCAAACUCCUACGGGAGGCAGCAGUAGGGAAUCUUCCACAAUGGACGAAAGUCUGAUGGAGCAACGCCGCGUGAGUGAAGAAGGGUUUCGGCUCGUAAAACUCUGUUGUUAAAGAAGAACAUAUCUGAGAGUAACUGUUCAGGUAUUGACGGUAUUUAACCAGAAAGCCACGGCUAACUACGUGCCAGCAGCCGCGGUAAUACGUAGGUGGCAAGCGUUGUCCGGAUUUAUUGGGCGUAAAGCGAGCGCAGGCGGUUUUUUAAGUCUGAUGUGAAAGCCUUCGGCUCAACCGAAGAAGUGCAUCGGAAACUGGGAAACUUGAGUGCAGAAGAGGACAGUGGAACUCCAUGUGUAGCGGUGAAAUGCGUAGAUAUAUGGAAGAACACCAGUGGCGAAGGCGGCUGUCUGGUCUGUAACUGACGCUGAGGCUCGAAAGUAUGGGUAGCAAACAGGAUUAGAUACCCUGGUAGUCCAUACCGUAAACGAUGAAUGCUAAGUGUUGGAGGGUUUCCGCCCUUCAGUGCUGCAGCUAACGCAUUAAGCAUUCCGCCUGGGGAGUACGGCCGCAAGGCUGAAACUCAAAGGAAUUGACGGGGGCCCGCACAAGCGGUGGAGCAUGUGGUUUAAUUCGAAGCUACGCGAAGAACCUUACCAGGUCUUGACAUACUAUGCAAAUCUAAGAGAUUAGACGUUCCCUUCGGGGACAUGGAUACAGGUGGUGCAUGGUUGUCGUCAGCUCGUGUCGUGAGAUGUUGGGUUAAGUCCCGCAACGAGCGCAACCCUUAUUAUCAGUUGCCAGCAUUAAGUUGGGCACUCUGGUGAGACUGCCGGUGACAAACCGGAGGAAGGUGGGGAUGACGUCAAAUCAUCAUGCCCCUUAUGACCUGGGCUACACACGUGCUACAAUGGAUGGUACAACGAGUUGCGAACUCGCGAGAGUAAGCUAAUCUCUUAAAGCCAUUCUCAGUUCGGAUUGUAGGCUGCAACUCGCCUACAUGAAGUCGGAAUCGCUAGUAAUCGCGGAUCAGCAUGCCGCGGUGAAUACGUUCCCGGGCCUUGUACACACCGCCCGUCACACCAUGAGAGUUUGUAACACCCAAAGUCGGUGGGGUAACCUUUUAGGAACCAGCCGCCUAAGGUGGGACCAG